rnacentral:rRNA from 1 species
GAUGAACGCUUUCUUCGUGCUUAACACAUGCAAGUCGAACGGUGAAGCAGAGCUUGCUCUGUGGAUCAGUGGCGAACGGGUGAGUAACACGUGAGCAACCUGCCCCUGACUCUGGGAUAAGCGCUGGAAACGGCGUCUAAUACUGGAUAUGAGCUGCGACCGCAUGGUCAGCAGUUGGAAAGAUUUUUCGGUCUGGGAUGGGCUCACGGCCUAUCAGCUUGUUGGUGAGGUAAUGGCUCACCAAGGCGUCGACGGGUAGCCGGCCUGAGAGGGUGACCGGCCACACUGGGACUGAGACACGGCCCAGACUCCUACGGGAGGCAGCAGUGGGGAGUAUUGCACAAUGGGCGAAAGCCUGAUGCAGCAACGCCGCGUGAGGGAUGACGGCCUUCGGGUUGUAAACCUCUUUUAGCAGGGAAGAAGCGAAAGUGACGGUACCUGCAGAAAAAGCGCCGGCUAACUACGUG